CGGGAUGUAGCUCAGCAUGGUUUAGAGCGCUCGGUUCGGGACCGAGAGGUCGGCGGUUCAAAUCCGCCCAUCCCGA
rnacentral:tRNA from 2 species